GCUGGUUCCUGUGCCUACAAAGCCCUUUCUCCCUCCAUCCCAUUACAUUUCAGCAACGGAAGCCACUUUAUAUAAACCCUGCCCUGAUUCAGGAUCCUAGCUGGGAGCAACUCCCUUCCAGGGUCCCCUGACUCAAAAGCAAGGAAAUGGGAAAGGCGAAAAGUCCUAGAACAAAGCCAUCUUUUGCGUCUCAACACCGAGAACAGAAGCGUGGGGGGCCGACAGCGAAGGGCCUAACGUCCAAGCACUCACCUGCGCGGGGUCCCGCAGCGCCGCCGCUGCCAUCGGAGUCUGUGGCUCAGCCGGCAGAGAGAAGAAAAGCAGCUGGACAUUGGAGACUAUGGUUGGAUGUUGGAGAGAAGCAGGCUGACUUCAAAGGGACAGCUUGACAGCGUAGCUUUGGAGAGGAUGGCCAGGGAUGGCCAAACUUCAGGGGACGAUUACCUUCCUGCUCCAUCCCCUUUUCAGCUCCUCUUCCUGCUGAGAGCCACUUUCACCGGCAAUAAAAUCCCC
rnacentral:lncRNA from 10 species